rnacentral:lncRNA from 1 species
UCGGCUGUACAGUUAGUAUUGCUUUUGUUUUAUUGAGACUUUUUUAACUUUUGAAUUUUUAAAUUUUAAAUGGUAAUAGAAAAAAAAAAGAAAAGAAAAAUUCAUUUGAUGAUUCUAUUAAAUUUGAUAAUUUUAACUCUUUCUCAUUAAACAAACUCGGAAACUAAUUGUUAAGAAACAUUAAAUUUAUCGACUGUCCCUGACGCAAGUGGCAAAUAGCUUGGUGGUUAGUAUCCGAGAUUCUAAAUUUGAAUAUUAGUUAAUUCAAAUUUCCAACUAAGUUUAUUUUCAAAAAAAAGUAAACGAAGCGUGUAGCAAGCUAUCUAUUUCUCUCUCUCUCUCAAAAAAAAAAAAAAAAUGAGGCAUGAAAUUUUGUUAAAUAUAAAAAUGUUUAAACACCGUUCUCUAACAGCUUAAGCUUUUAGAGUACAACGGUUGUUUCACAUGGUAUCAGAGCAGGAGGUCCUGAGUUCGAGUCACGCCAGGCUCCUAGCAUAUUAAUUUCCUCCUAUUUAAUUCAAGCCCACGUCAUGGGCUGAUUAAAAAGUUUCCAGCCCAGACGUGAGGGGGAGUGUUAAAUAUAAAAAUGUUUAAACACCGUUCGAGUCAGACGUGAGGGGGAGUGUUAAAUAUAAAAAUGUUUAAACACCGUGCUUAAGCUUUUAGAGUACAACGGUUGUUUCACAAAUUUGUUAAUCACUUUUAUUUAAAUAAGUAUAAAAUUUAAAGAAAAAAAUUAUAAUUUUUUAAUUAACAA